rnacentral:rRNA from 1 species
AGUGAACGCUGGCGGUGGGCCUAACACAUGCAAGUCGAACGGCAGCACAGUAAGAGCUUGCUCUUACGGGUGGCGAGUGGCGGACGGGUGAGGAAUACAUCGGAAUCUACUUUUUCGUGGGGGAUAACGUAGGGAAACUUACGCUAAUACCGCAUACGACCUACGGGUGAAAGCAGGGGAUCUUCGGACCUUGCGCGAUUGAAUGAGCCGAUGUCGGAUUAGCUAGUUGGCGGGGUAAAGGCCCACCAAGGCGACGAUCCGUAGCUGGUCUGAGAGGAUGAUCAGCCACACUGGAACUGAGACACGGUCCAGACUCCUACGGGAGGCAGCAGUGGGGAAUAUUGGACAAUGGGCGCAAGCCUGACCCAGCCAUACCGCGUGGGUGAAGAAGGCCUUCGGGUUGUAAAGCCCUUUUGUUGGGAAAGAAAAGCAGCAGGUUAAUACCCCGCUGUUCUGACGGUACCCAAAGAAUAAGCACCGGCUAACUUCGUG